AUUAAAACAUUCGUUUGUUCACAAUGUGAAAUAUGAGUAUCUUGUAAGAAUGACAUUUAUUACUCAUUUUUGUCCCUAUUAUUGUCAAGCUUCAGUAUCAAGCAAGAAAUAUCAAAAAGCAGAGUAAUAGAAUGUUAUUUACUUAUAGCUCAGUAUUGUAGAGAAUCAGUACCUCUCCCUUGGUAGGGGGGGUAACUAGCACAAAUAAUGUAAUCUCAAAUUCAGUUCAGGAUAUGGAAAAUGAUUUAUUAUUAUUUAAAAGAUAUAAUCAUGAAGCAUUUAAAAUCUUUCACUGAAAAUGUAGUGUAAUAAAAUAGAUGGGU
rnacentral:lncRNA from 1 species